rnacentral:rRNA from 1 species
AAAUAAGGCAUCUUAUUUCUUUUAAAAGACCUAGUAAUAGGUACACUUUAGGAGGGGCUUGCGCCAUAUUAGUUAGUUGGUAGGGUAAUGGCCUACCAAGACGAUGAUGUGUAGCUGGACUGAGAGGUUGAACAGCCACAUUGGGACUGAGACACGGCCCAAACUCCUACGGGAGGCAGCAGUAAGGAAUUUUCGGCAAUGGAGGAAACUCUGACCGAGCAACGCCGCGUGAACGACGAAGUACUUUGGUAUGUAAAGUUCUUUUAUCAAGGAAGAAAAGCAAGUGGCGAACCAUUCGUUUGCCGGUACUUGAUGAAUAAGCCCCGGCUAAUUAUGUGCCAGCAGCCGCGGUAAGACAUAAGGGGCAAGUGUUAUCCGGAAUUAUUGGGCGUAAAGGGUGCGUAGGCGGUCUAGUAAGUCAGUGGUGUAAUGGCAACGCUCAACGUUGUCCGGCUAUUGAAACUGCUAAACUUGAGUUAGAUAGAGGCGAGUGGAAUUCCAUGUGUAGCGGUAAAAUGCGUAAAUAUAUGGAGGAACACCAGAGGCGUAGGCGGCUCGCUGGGUCUUAACUGACGCUGAGGCACGAAAGCGUGGGGAGCAAACAGGAUUAGAUACCCUGGUAGUCCACGCCGUAAACGAUGAGUACUAAGUGUCGGGUUAAACCGGUACUGAAGUUAACACAUUAAGUACUCCGCCUGAGUAGUACGUACGCAAGUAUGAAACUUAAAGGAAUUGACGGGACUCCGCACAAGCGGUGGAUCAUGUUGUUUAAUUCGAAGAUACCCGAAAAACCUUACCAGGUCUUGACAUGUUUUUGCGAAACGGUAGUAAUAUCGUAGAGGUUAUCAGAAACACAGGUGGUGCAUGGUUGUCGUCAGCUCGUGUCGUGAGAUGUUAGGUUAAGUCCUAAAACGAGCGAAACCCUUAUCGUUAGUUGCCAGCACGUUAUGGUGGGGACUUUAACGAGACUGCCAGUGAUAAACUGGAGGAAGGUGAGGAUCACGUCAAAUCAGCAUGCCCCUUAUGACCUGGGCUACAAACGUGAUACAAUGGCUGUUACAAAGGGUAGCUGAAACGUAAGUUCUUGGCCAAUCCCCAAAAACAGUCUCAGUCCGGAUUGAAGUCUGCAACUCGACUUCAUGAAGUUGGAAUCGCUAGUAAUCGCGAAUCAGCAUGUCGCGGUGAAUACGUUCUCGGGGUUUGUACACACCGCCCGUCAA